GGUCAGGUGAGGAGAAAAAACUGCAACAAUAUGAUCGGUAGAUUACCGGUGAUUCAUUGUAUUUAAGUCUCUGAUGAUU